AGGGCUUAUCUGUUCCAUUUCGGACAUGGAGAUUGCCUAAGGCGAGGGCUUAUCUGUUCCAUUUUGGACAUGGAGAUUGCCUAAGGAACACCUCCGAAACAUGGCUGGUUGUCUGCAAAACUGGUAAUAGGAAGGCAAAAAAUCCACUUCAUCUGCUGUCCAUAUUGAUUUGAUGAAGAAUCAUAGCAAUGGGAACAUGCUGCAGAUGAAAUAAAUCCAGCAACAAAAGAAUAAAUUUUAAUAUGAAACAAGUAAUUUUCUGAGGAAUUGUAUCUGCCAUACCAGGAACCAUCCUGGAACUAUUAAGGAACAGUUGAAUCUAUAAUAUUACUUUUUUCGACAGAUAACAAAGACUUGGUUCAAUGGAAGAAACUGAUUUCACUGGGUGUGAUUCUACUCUUCCCAUGGAGAAAAAAGUUCCACAUAGAUGACUAGGAAAACAGAAAUGAAUAAGGAAAUGAAACAAUUGGAAGAAAGGACAUUGGUCUGAUCUAUUCAGCCUUUUUCCAUGUCCUCUCCCCUUCUUUGCUGUUCAGGAACUGAGCUCUGAGUAUAACAGUAGAGAUGGAGAGUUCAAUUGUGCAGCCCAUUCUACAAUCUCCACUCACUGAAUAUUCUGUUUCCCAAUCUCCACACCUCCUCAGGAAGCAGUAGCGGUGUAGGGUGAAGUUUCCAAUGGACAUGUCAGGCUCCUUGAUGAACCCCUACAUAUAUAUAUAAAACCUGACUAGAUUAGAAAUCUGAAUGCCAGCUCUUGUGUUGAUUCUCACUCCAGGAGACCAAUGGGGUAACUGCCUAUUUUAACAUUUUUAUGCUUGCAAUUUUUUGCUCUGGCAAUUUAUAGCAUGCUUUAGGACUUAUAUAAUUCCUUUCUGUCUUUAUUUAUUUGCUUGUCUGUGAGUCAAGGCAGUGUGGCCAAUGUGGUACCCUCUAGAUGCUGUUGAAGCACUGCCAGUGGUCAGGGAUGAUGGGACUUAUAGUCCAACAACAUCCCCUGUUUAAAGUCAAGGGCAAAAGUCAACAAUGCAAACUGAUCCCCCUGGCUUGCAUUUUAGGGACAUAAUUUUCUGGGUAACCUAUGUGUGACUCUGGAAAUAUGAAAUGUGAAGUGAGCCUGUCUUUGAAAUAUUGAGAAGUGCUAGGAAAUGACAUAAGUUUUGUUCUUUACCUUUUUCUCCUAGUAACUUUUGUAUUAAGUGGGCAAGGAAAAGGUGGAGGUUUGGUAUACUCGGUGAUUGUAAUGAUGUCCAGUGGUGCUGUGUGUCUGAAGCUUGGUUCUCAUUGAAGUAGUCAGGGUUGGCACCAGGCAUGACUGGGCCCUUGGGCACCAGCCUGCCCCGGGAGCGCAGCUGCUGCCUGUU